rnacentral:rRNA from 1 species
UACGGAGGGUGCAAGCGUUAUCCGGAUUCACUGGGUUUAAAGGGUGCGUAGGUGGGCAGGUAAGUCAGUGGUGAAAUCCCCGAGCUUAACUUGGGAACUGCCGUUGAUACUAUCUGUCUUGAAUAUUGUGGAGGUGAGCGGAAUAUGUCACGUAGCGGUGAAAUGCUUAGAUAUGACAUAGAACACCAAUUGCGAAGGCAGCUCGCUACACAAAUAUUGACUCUGAGGCACGAAAGCGUGGGGAUCAAACAGG